rnacentral:tRNA from 1 species
GGUGUGUAUGCUCAGUGGCAGAGCAUGUGCUUAGCGUGCAUGAGGUCCUGGGUUCAAUCCCCAGGAACGCCA